UACAGAGGUCUCAAGCGUUGUUCGGAUUCAUUGGGCGUAAAGGGGUGCGUAGGUGGCGCGGUAAGUCGGGGUGUGAAAUUUCGGAGCUUAACUCCGAAACUGCAUUCGAUACUGCCGUGCUUGAGGACUGGAGAGGAGACGUGGAAUUUACGGUGUAGCAGUGAAAUGCGUAGAUAUCGGAAGGAACAAUCAGUGGCGAAAGCGGCUUCCUGGUCCGCACCGACGUCAGGCACGAAA
rnacentral:rRNA from 1 species